rnacentral:misc_RNA from 1 species
AAAGUCGUAACAAGGUUUCCGUAGGUGAACCUGCGGAAGGAUCAUUACCGAGUGAGGGUUUCUCUGAAGCCCAACCUCCCACCCGUGUAUACCGUACCCUGUUGCUUCGGCGGGCCCGCCUCACGGCCGCCGGGGGACCUCGUGUCCCCGGGCCCGCGCCCGCCGAAGACCCCAACACGAACACUGUCUGAAAAGUGCAGUCUGAGUCGAUUGUUACCAAUCAGUCAAAACUUUCAACAAUGGAUCUCUUGGUUCCG